rnacentral:misc_RNA from 1 species
GCCUGGGUUAGGGGUGAGCAAACUUCAGUUAUAGUUGAAAAAUCAAAUUGAACCGUUUUAAUUUUGGUUUAAACGGUUUGGUUUUCAUUUUAUAGAAAUUUUGGUCUUUUAAAAGGACCAAUAAUUGAACUGAUCGAUUUUUUGGGCUUAUUAAACAGGCUGCUAUUUUAUUAAAUAGACCUCCAAAUAACCCAAAAGUUUUUGGGGGAGAUUACAGAAAGAUAAAGCUACCAUUUCCUCUGUAGAAUGUACUUUCCUAGCCCAUAACUUUUGUUUUUCCAGUGAUUCUUGUAACCCAUGGGAUGGCCAUAAAUGUGGAGGCUUAUUCCCUCAAUUGCUUGAUGCAAUGGCGAUAAAAUAGAAAAUGUGCCAUGGACUCUGCUGCAAUAUAGUGAAGAAAGCACCCAGUAACCAAAAUCUGCCCCUUUUUUUGAAGGUUUCCCAUGUUGCUUCCAAGUUAUAAAAGGCCACCUCCGAAGGGGCCCCACACUUCCAAAUUAUGUUCAUGGAAACUGUAUUAUUGGCUCUACAAUUUCAAAUUCUACCUAUUUCUCUCAAAAACGACAUUCCAAAUUAUUCUGAGAUGCAACAGUUCAGCACAUCUUCUCUCCUCCAUGCCUUCAAGAAGAUAUUUGGGAAUUUGUCCUUGAAAGAAAAUUCUAAGCUUUAAUCUUCAUGCUGAAAGGAAGUUAGUGUUCUCAUUUGCCAUAUUAAAAGUCAGCAUUCAGCAUUGUUGCAUUUUGGCACCUUUAUUAUUUAUCAGUAGCUUUUCACUUUGGAAAAGCUCCCUUACAACAUCAAGAUAUCGCCAUAUCAGUUUGGUAUUUCCAAUCUUUAUUUAACUACUAUUUAAUGUGCAGUAGUAGACAUGAUUUAUGUUGUUAUUUCGGUACUUUCUCAAAUUUUCAGUAUGUGUUUAUGUAAAUUGUCUGUAAAUAUUUGUUGUUCUUUAAUUAAUGUGGUUGACUAAUAAUUUGUCAUUUUUCUUGAAGCUUUCCUUCCCUUUCAUGUGAAUUUGCAUCAGUUGAUGUGAGUGAUGUGUUGGGAACUAACAGGUUGAAUAUAACAAAAACAAUCCGCAAAUUUUCAAUAGAUCAUGAUCUAAGGCCCACUGGCUCUGAGUUUCACUCAGGGCCAGUUUUGCAUGACAUUAACCAUGGAGAUGAAUUUGAUGGAGUAGUUAGUGAAGGGUCUGUGUCACUAACUGGUCGUAAUUUUGAUCAAUACGCGCAUCAGUAUCCAAUUUUGGUUGUCAACUUUUAUGCACCUUGGUGCUACUGGAGUAAUCGUCUGAAAUCUUCAUGGGAAAGUGCUGCUAAUACAAUGAGAGAAAGAUAUGAUCCAGAACUAGAUGGACGCAUUAUUUUGGGGAGGGUUGAUUGCACUGAAGAAGUUGAUUUGUGUAGGAGGCAUCACAUACAAGGUUAUCCCUCCAUUCGCAUUUUUCGUAAAGGAAGUGAUGUCAAGUAUGUUUUCUUUUUUAAUUUUACUUUUCCCUUGGUUUUCUUUUUCUUAUAUUAUGUAUAUUUUCUUUAGCAUGUUAUGCUAAGGCAUUUCCUAUUGCAUAUUCUCUCUUCUUCAGAUUUAUCAUUGAUCUAAUUGCAUUUUCAUCAAAGCUCCCUUACAUUAUGGCUGUUUCAUGUAUUCUUAAAGAACUUUAUAGAGCUCUUAUGCUAGGGACAUACUGUACCAACUUUUUUCUGCCUGUUUAUGUAGCUAUAGAACUGUAUUGAGGUUGCAAUGUAUGCAUACUAUUACAAAUCUCUUCUUCUUCUUUUGUUUUUUGAUGUGUUUUGCCCAGUUUGUAUAUCCAUAACAUGUUUUCAUCAUCAUGGUUGCAUGCAUGGUUUGUGUUAUAUGUUUUUUUUUCCUUUCUUGGAUCUCUUUUAAUAUGCAUGGAUGUGGAUUCAGCUUUGUGUUUGACUAAGAUAUGCUCAAAAUGGGGUUCAGCCUUUGACCAGUGUGUCUUUCACGUUUCAAUUACCUUUUUCUUUUGUGUUUUUGGACUUGCCAUGGAGCAUUGCUGCAUGCACUCGAAUAUCUACUAACCAAAGUUCAGUUUAACCAUUAUUUACAUGACUGAUUUUGCAAGUUUAGGUUUUCUAAAUCUGAAUCAUGUUCAGAUACUUAAAACCAGCUGCAACAUGAUUUUCUGGAGCAUAUAUCUAUUGUUGUCAAAAUGAUUACCUUUUGAAAACUUCACCACCCUUUUGUUUUUCCUUUCUGAAUCAGUUAAUUAGAAUUCCCAAAUUUAUCGUUCCGGUUUUAAGGCAAAAAUACUAUUCAAUAUUGGAAGUAAAAAAAUUGAAGCUUAGAUCUUUGAAAUAAGUAAAUGUAUAAACAGUCGUACAACAAAUAAAACAAUAAACAAGGGGUGAAAUUCAAGGAAUUUUUAUGCCAUGUUUAGUAACGGGCCUGCCUAACAUUUUUCAAUGUUCCCAUUCUUGUUGACCCAAGGGAAUGCAUUGCACAGUAGAACACAAUUUAUGUUUUAAUGCUAGAUUCUGGUUUAAAUGGUACAUACUUAAUUACUAAAUAUGACAAUAUAGUUAUCUCCUCCCCCCCUCUCCUCUCCUAAUAAAUAUAUAGAGAUCACGUGGUUUCUUCAUCAAUCUGGAUUUUAUAUUAGUGGUUUCAUUUGUCAACCUUGUUACUUGAUGUUUCAACUGUCACAGAGAGGACCAUGGACACCAUGAUCAUGAAUCCUAUUAUGGAGAUCGAGAUACAGAAAGCCUGCUUAAGACAAUGGAAGGAUUGAUUGCACCUCUUCCAAUAGAAUCUCAUAAAUCUGAUAAUUCAACGCAGAAUGCCAAAAGACCAGCACCUAUGACAGGAGGAUGUAGAAUUGAAGGAUAUGUGCGUGUAAAGAAGGUUCCAGGCAACCUCAUCAUCUCAGCUCGCUCAGGGUCACAUUCCUUCGAUCCUUCUCUAAUGAACAUGUCACAUGUCAUAUCCCAUCUUUCAUUUGGCAUGAAUGUUUCGCCCAAGUUGAUGAAUGAGGCAAAGCGAUUGAUGCCUUAUAUUGGUAGAAGUCAUGACAAGUUGAAUGGGCGGUCAUUCAUUAAUCACCGUGAUGUGGAUGCCAAUGUUACUAUUGAGCAUUACCUGCAAAUAGUUAAAACAGAAGUGGUUGCAAGACGAUCUUCUCGUGAGUAUAAAUUGCUUGAAGAAUAUGAAUACACAGCCCACAGCAGUUUGGUGCAGAGUGUAUACAUACCUGUUGCGAAAUUCCAUUUUGAGCUCUCUCCCAUGCAGGUCCUAAUCACAGAAAAUCCAAAAUCAUUUUCGCAUUUUAUCACCAAUGUCUGUGCCAUAAUUGGGGGUGUUUUCACGGUUGCUGGGAUUUUGGAUUCAAUUUUGCACAACACAAUUAGAAUGAUGAAAAAAGUUGAAUUAGGCAAAAAUUAUUGAUAGGAAGAUGAAAUUUGUAGGUGUAUAAAAAAAAUUCUGAUUUUUUACACUCAUUUGUUAGAAAAUAUUGUUAAGAACAGUUGCACUGUAUUACGCUUUUGAUAUAUGCAAAGCAUGAGUUAUUAUAAUUGCCGAUGC